ACGAACGCUGGCGGCGUGCCUAAUACAUGCAAGUUGAGCGAUGAAGAUUGGUGCUUGCACCAAUUUGAAGAGCAGCGAACGGGUGAGUAACGCGUGGGGAAUCUGCCUUUGAGCGGGGGACAACAUUUGGAAACGAAUGCUAAUACCGCAUAACAACUUUAAACAUAAGUUUUAAGUUUGAAAGAUGCAAUUGCAUCACUCAAAGAUGAUCCCGCGUUGUAUUAGCUAGUUGGUGAGGUAAAGGCUCACCAGGGCGAUGAUACAUAGCCGACCUGAGAGGGUGAUCGGCCACAUUGGGACUGAGACACGGCCCAAACUCCUACGGGAGGCAGCAGUAGGGAAUCUUCGGCAAUGGACGAAAGUCUGGCCGAGCAACGCCGCGUGAGUGAAGAAGGUUUUCGGAUCGUGAAACUCUGUUGGUAGAGAAGAACGUUGGUGAGAGUGGAAAGCUCAUCAAGUGACGGUAACUACCCAGAAAGGGACGGCUAACUACGUG
rnacentral:rRNA from 1 species